GAUGAACGCUAGCGGCAGGCCUAAUACAUGCAAGUCGAACGGCAAGUUUCCUUCGGGAGACCUAGAGUGGCGGACGGGUGCGUAACGCGUAUGCAACUUACCCUCUACAGGGGGAUAGCCCGGGGAAACCCGGAUUAAUAUCCCAUGGCAUCAUAAAUUCGCAUGUUUUUAUGAUUAAAGAUUUAUCGGUAGAGGAUGGGCAUGCGUGCCAUUAGCUAGUUGGUAGUGUAACGGACUACCAAGGCGACGAUGGCUAGGGGGUCUGAGAGGAUGAUCCCCCACACUGGCACUGAGACACGGGCCAGACUCCUACGGGAGGCAGCAGUAGGGAAUAUUGGUCAAUGGGCGAGAGCCUGAACCAGCCAUGCCGCGUGAAGGAUGAAGGCGUUCUGCGUUGUAAACUUCUUUUAUAGGGGAAGAAAAAGGGGGUGCGCCCCCAAUUGACGGUACCCUAUGAAUAAGCACCGGCUAACUCCG
rnacentral:rRNA from 1 species